CUCUUCACAUGGUCCAGGGUUCAGGGUGAUGAAGAAUGCUCUGACCUCCGGUUGGAGGUUCACCAUUUCACUUCGUUGGGUUGAAACUCGCGUCGACAGACCCUAAUCGGGUGCUUUCGGGCGUAUAGUUUUUUCAGUGGGGGAGGCCUCAGAGAUCCUCCUU
rnacentral:snRNA from 15 species